rnacentral:misc_RNA from 1 species
GAAAGGUCGGAGUGGUUGGAUGACGUUAUAACUAUAUUACCAGUUUUAGAGUUUAGUUUGGGAGAUGAAUUAUUGAGCUUGUGAACAGUUGGAGCACAUGGUUAAGGAGCCUUUUUUUUACUCUCAAAUAAUUUUACUUUGGUUUUCCUAUAUAAAAUGCUCUUAGGAGUCGUUCAUAUUCAAAUUAUGAUUUAUUGGUUGGGGAGGGAUGGAGCCAUUUCUAUUUUUAUUCAUA